UACGGAGGGAGCUAGCGUUGUUCGGAAAUACUGGGCGUAAAGCGCACGUAGGCGGCGCGGCAAGUCAGGGGUGAAAUCCCGGGGCUCAACCCCGGAACUGCCCUUGAAACUGCAGUGCUAGAAUCUUGGAGAGGCGAGUGGAAUUCCGAGUGUAGAGGUGAAAUUCGUAGAUAUUCGCAAGAACACCAGUGGCGAAGGCGGCUCACUGGCCCGGUACUGACGCUGAGGUGCGAAAGCGUGGGGAGCAAACAGG
rnacentral:rRNA from 1 species